rnacentral:tmRNA from 1 species
GGGGAUGACCGGCCUAGACAGGCGGUUCCCUCUUGUAGGUGCUAUGCCGAGAAUGUUCAAGACCUCGUUAAAUCUUGAAUACACAAGUAUGUGCAAAAAACACACUUGCAAAAGUAAAGGCAUCAGUUUCUCCGUAUUUUACGGCGAACGCCUUUACUCCUGUUUACGCUUUAGCCUAAACAGCACUCAGGUUCAGUACGCCCUCUAGGGAACUCUGGGUGAUAUAAAAAGAGGGCUCAUCGCUUUGAAUGACUCUACAAAGUGAAAAAACAUAGAGUAUAGGUUGUGUAUGAUUUUGAAUACUUUAUACAUACAUUACUCAAAUAAGGCUUCGGUCUUAACAUAAGUACUCUACGCAUAGUAGAUUCCCACAAGAGCAUCGUCUGCACGGGGGUUCGAUUCCCCCCAUCUCCACAA